rnacentral:ncRNA from 1 species
CUCUUAUCUAGAGUGGGUGAGGGACGGGCCCGAUGACCCCCGGCAGCCUGCAGGCAUGAUCCCCGACGCCGAGUCGACCGCGGCCGGGUGCGUGCAAGGUGCCAACUCCCGCGGAACCAAUUCCGAGAGAUAAGAG